rnacentral:rRNA from 1 species
CCCUUAGAUGUUCUGGGCCGCACGCGUGCUACACUGAGUAAAUCAAUGGGUAAGGGAACACGAAAGUGCAACCUAAUCUUGAAAUUUGCUCGUGAUGGGGAUCGACGGUUGCAAUUUUCCGUCGUGAACGAGGAAUACCUUGUAGGCGCGUGUCAUCAUCACGCGCCGAAUACGUCCCUGCCCUUUGUACACACCGCCCGUCGCUCCUACCGAUUGAGUGGUCCGGUGAGGCUUUGGGAUCUGAGCGGAAAGAGCGUUUCGCUGUUUCUGCUCGGAAAACUCAGUCGAACCUUAUCAUUUAGAGGAAGGAGAAGUCGUAACA